UACAGAGGUCUCAAGCGUUGUUCGGAUUCAUUGGGCGUAAAGGGUGCGUAGGUGGCGCCGUAAGUCGGGUGUGAAAUUUCGGAGCUUAACUCCGAAACUGCAUUCGAUACUGCGGUGCUUGAGGACUGGGAGAGGAGACUGGAAUUCAUGGUGUAGCAGUGAAAUGCGUAGAGAUCAUGAGGAAGACCAGUGGCGAAGGCGG
rnacentral:rRNA from 1 species